rnacentral:rRNA from 1 species
CAUCGACGGGGAUGGCCUAACUGCAAUACUUGCCCCUUAUGCAUGCAAGUUCAAGAGUCCGCGGCCCAUCUCCUUUUUCAAUGUCGCUACACCAUUAGGGUCUGGGGAAUGAUCAAAUCUUGGCUCGGCUUACUUGAUGUGCACCCAUCGGCCUGGGUGGCUCUGGACUCAGUGAAGGAUUGGUGGAACCUAAUUGCUUCCAACAUGUCGCAAUCCCGGCGGGCGAUGAUGUCUCUCAUUAUGCUUAUCUCGUGGGAAGUUUGGAAGGAGAGAAAUGCUCGAGUCUUCCGCCACACCGUGGUGCCUGUAGGGGUUCUUGUUGCUAGAAUUAAAGAGGAGACAAAGCUGUGGUGUCUUGCGGGAGCAAAAUCUUUGAGUAAUGUAAUGCCACAAGAGUAA